UAUAUAAUUAUCAGCAGCAGUCACUCUAACACGGUUUGUGAAACGCCUGGCAACUUGGAAGUCAAUACUUCUCUGAGUAUAUCAAAGAGUUUAGUUUCCGACGACAGAAAUUUUAAAAUGGGACCAGAAUUUGCGAACGGGUUAUUCUGUAUUUUCGUGUUUUUCAGACUGUGCAGUUGCGCAUCCAUAGAUUUAAACCAAGUUGAGACACUCAGAAUGACUGGCUCAUCCAGCACUGGAAGUGACAGAUGGACUACACUUGGAGUUGAAUACAGUUCGGGAGGUUAUGAGACUGUCAAUGCUUCAGAUCCAACAACUCAUAAUGUAGAAAUGAGUACUAGGACAAAGGACCAAAUGAGUACUAGGACAAAGGACCAAAGCAAUCCCUGUCUGAAUAGUGAUUUCUGCAUCCAUGGGAGCUGUGAGUACCACAGUGAUCAGCAAACUACAUACUGUGUAUGUCAUCCUGGUUUCUCUGGACAGAGAUGUCACAUGUUUAUUUUGGGAAGCACUAGCAAAGAGGGUUAUGACCUGACGACAAUCCUACCUGUUGUAGCAGUGGUCAUUGUCAUCUUAUGUCUGACCGUCUUCAGUCUCUUUCUGGUUAUCAGACAUCAGAAGAAACACAAGCAAGAUGCAGAAUGUGAAGAAAAAAUUCAUCUUGAUGUGACCAUAGUCCAUGAACUGUGAAAAAAUAUGUGAAAGGAGAAAGUCUACCUCAGAGUAACGGAUGGUCUGACAAGGUGUGGCCUGGGACUCUGCUCAAGUCAUAAAUAGGAAAAAUGACACUAGAGAGAGAUUCUUGAAUGCUAAUGGCAACCCAGGAACAUUGUCUCUCUCGGGCAGAAAUGUCCCCCAGCUUUGCCGUUGGAAAGACUUACCUUAUCUUACCUUAUGGAGCUCAAGACCAUCUCAACCCCACCUAUCACCCUUUUUGGAUACUAAGUGGACAUAUACAAACAAUGCAUUUGUACCAGGAAGAUGGCAACAACAUCAACAAAAAAAUAGACCAGAGUUAGAGGGAUGAUUUGAAUAGGCCUAGUUGUCUUGAUGUACUGUUGAGUUGAGAUCAUUGUUAAGCCGCAUUUUUAAUAGCUCAGUUAAUAUGUUAUAUUUUGUUAUUUGGCCUUGUGAAUUAAUUUAUUUGUGUAUUUAAUAAGACUAUUUAUUUAGUAUUUAUUUCAAUAUGUUUUUCAUGAUGUAUUUAUUCAGGCAUUCAGUGUUGUGAUGUCAUUUUAAAUUCCACUUGUUCAACUUUCACUAACAUUUAUGAUAGACAUCAUUGUGAACUAUUGUGAAGUUGAUUUUGUGAAUGGGAUUAAAUACUGUUGAU